UACGGGGGGGGCAAGCGUUGUUCGGAAUUACUGGGCGUAAAGGGCUCGUAGGCGGCCAACUAAGUCAUACGUGAAAUCCCUCGGCUUAACCGGGGAACUGCGUCUGAUACUGGAUGGCUUGAGUUCGGGAGAGGGAUGCAGAAUUCCAGGUGUAGCGGUGAAAUGCGUAGAUAUCUGGAGGAAUACCGGUGGCGAAGGCGGCAUCCUGGACCGGCAUUGACGCUGAGGAGCGAAAGCCAGGGGAGCAAACGGG
rnacentral:rRNA from 1 species